UUUCCGUAGGGUGAGUUCUGCUGGUGGUCCCCUGAGCGUACAAAUUGCUAACUGCUACAGUGAACCUGCGGAAGGAUCAUUAAUGAGAAAGGGUCUUCAGGCCCAACCUCAAACCCAUGUCUACAUUACUUUGUUGCCUCGGCAGAGCGUCUGUUACAUGCCAUUGGCUUUGCUGAUGAGUCUCUGCCGAUGGGAUUUUUACACUCUGUCUUCAGUUUUCUGAAACACAUACAAAUAAAACCAAAACUUUCAACAACGGAUCUCUUGGUUCUGGCAUCGAUGAAGAACGCAGC
rnacentral:misc_RNA from 1 species